GAGGAAUAUUGGUCAAUGGACGAGAGUCUGAACCAGCCAAGUAGCGUGAAGGAUGACUGCCCUAUGGGUUGUAAACUUCUUUUAUACGGGAAUAAAGUUAGCCACGUGUGGCUUUUUGUAUGUACCGUAUGAAUAAGGAUCGGCUAACUCCGUGCCAGCAGCCGCGGUAAUACGGAGGAUCCGAGCGUUAUCCGGAUUUAUUGGGUUUAAAGGGAGCGUAGGCGGGUUGUUAAGUCAGUUGUGAAAGUUUGCGGCUCAACCGUAAAAUUGCAGUUGAUACUGGCGACCUUGAGUGCAACAGAGGUAGGCGGAAUUCGUGGUGUAGCGGUGAAAUGCUUAGAUAUCACGAAGAACUCCGAUUGCGAAGGCAGCUUACUGGAUUGUAACUGACGCUGAUGCUCGAAAGUGUGGGUAUCAAACAGGAUUAGAUACCCUGGUAGUCCACACAGUAAACGAUGAAUACUCGCUGUUUGCGAUAUACAGUAAGCGGCCAAGCGAAAGCGUUAAGUAUUCCACCUGGGGAGUACGCCGGCAACGGUGAAACUCAAAGGAAUUGACGGGGGCCCGCACAAGCGGAGGAACAUGUGGUUUAAUUCGAUGAUACGCGAGGAACCUUACCCGGGCUUGAAUUGCAACUGAAUGAUGUGGAGACAUGUCAGCCGCAAGGCAGUUGUGAAGGUGCUGCAUGGUUGUCGUCAGCUCGUGCCGUGAGGUGUCGGCUUAAGUGCCAUAACGAGCGCAACCCUUAUCGAUAGUUACCAUCAGGUUAUGCUGGGGACUCUGUCGAGACUGCCGUCGUAAGAUGUGAGGAAGGUGGGGAUGACGUCAAAUCAGCACGGCCCUUACGUCCGGGGCUACACACGUGUUACAAUGGGGGGUACAGAAGGCAGCUACACGGCGACGUGAUGCUAAUCCCGAAAGCCUCUCUCAGUUCGGAUUGGAGUCUGCAACCCGACUCCAUGAAGCUGGAUUCGCUAGUAAUCGCGCAUCAGCCACGGCGCGGUGAAUACGUUCCCG
rnacentral:rRNA from 1 species